rnacentral:rRNA from 1 species
AGAGUUUGAUCCUGGCUCAGGACGAACGCUGGCGGCGUGCCUAAUACAUGCAAGUCGAGCGGAUUAUCCCUUCGGGGAUGGUUAGCGGCGGACGGGUGAGUAACACGUAGGCAACCUGCCUGUAAGACCGGGAUAACUACCGGAAACGGUAGCUAAGACCGGAUAGCUGGUCUUCUCGCAUGAGGAGAUCAUGAAACACG